rnacentral:rRNA from 1 species
UACCAGCACCCCGAGUGGUCGGGACGAUUAUUGGGCCUAAAGCAUCCGUAGCCGGUACUGCAAGUCUUCCGUUAAAUCCACCUGCUUAACAGUUGGGCUGCGGGGGAUACUACAGCGCUAGGAGGCGGGAGAGGCAAGCGGUACUCAAUGGGUAGGGGUAAAAUCCGCUGAUCCAUUGAAGACCACCAGUGGCGAAGGCGGCUUGCCAGAACGCGCUCGACGGUGAGGGAUGAAAGCUGGGGGAGCGAACGGG